CACGCUUGUGUAAAACUACACAACAGCUUUUUCCUGCUCCACUCAAAGUUUACAUAAAGAAUGCGCGUUCACAGUUUUCCUUUGAUGUGCAUAUUAAUAAUGACUAUAGUGAAUAUAAAAUAAAAUUAACCACUAGUUAGGUACCUAUAUUUAAAUGAGAAUUAAUUAACACCGUUUACAUUUAUUUUAGAAAUAAUAAUAUUAACUUAUAAUA